GCUUUAGAAGAGACGGUCUUUUAAGCCACGUGUUGGCCAAAGGGCUAUCAUCUCUUUCUCUCUCUCGGGAAUGCUCUUCAUCAUCAAAAGUUCAAAGCUUUCCACUUUGUGGAUCUCUCUAUCAAUGGGUGUUUGUGUGAUUUUUACGGAGAGAUGGAGGCAGAUCAGAUCGCGGUGUUUGGUUCCCGAAACGCUGAGUUCUUCUAUGGUUGCAGCAAUUCUUAGUUGUGAGGAGAAGGGGUCGUUGCUCGUUAUUAGUUAGUCAUCCAUCAAGAUUCAAAAUAGAGCAGCGAAGGUUUAAGAAAAAUGAAGAAAGUGAUGAAGAUCAUCAAGCCGAAGCCUGAUCCAAAGCAACGCUUACGUGAUUGGCAACGCAAACUUCGCCAGGAGUGCCGUAACAUCGAACGCCAAAUCCGAGAUAUAUAGAAAGAAGAGAGAACGGUACAGAAAGCUAUUAAAGAGGCUGCUAAGCGGAAUGAUAUGGUCUCAGCUAAGGCGCUUGCUAAGGAGAUUGUGAGUUCGAGAAGAACAGUGAACAAGUUAUAUGAAAACAAGGCGCAGAUGAAUUCUAUAUCUAUGCAUCUCGGAGAGAGUAUUGGUAUUAAAGCUUUUUCAUUAGCAUGAUUUUGAGAGUUUUCAUCAUUUUUUCAUACUUUGUUUGUAACGUGACUCGCUUGAGCAACAUAAUAUAUCUAGAGACGGUUGGUUGUUCUCACUGUAUAGAAUGGUAGAAGGUAAAUAGAUACAUCUCUCUACAAAUCUUUAUCACCACAUCAAAGUCAAAUCUUGCUCUUAUCUUAAACUCUUGCUUUCAGGGUUUGCAGUGAUGAGCAGAUUGGCGAGGAACAGAAUGCAACAACCAGGUUACAAUUUGGAAGGAAACUCGUUUGACUGGGACAAUAUCAAGAUGUAGAUUAAGUUUCAGGUCAAGCUAUAGUCAUCAUCAUCAGUUGCGAAGAAGAGAAACAUUUUUUUUUACCUUGACCAAAAUUGUUACUCUUGGAUGCCUUAAAACUUAAUUUUUUUGUUUAAAAACUCUUAAAUAAGAGACUUGCAAUGGAGUACGUAAAC